rnacentral:rRNA from 1 species
AACGAACGCUGGCGGCAUGCCUAACACAUGCAAGUCGAACGAGACCUUCGGGUCUAGUGGCGCACGGGUGCGUAACGCGUGGGAACCUGCCCUUAGGUUCGGAAUAACUCCCCGAAAGGGGUGCUAAUACCGGAUAAUGUCUUCGGACCAAAGAUUUAUCGCCUUUGGAUGGGCCCGCGUUGGAUUAGCUAGUUGGUAGGGUAAAAGCCUACCAAGGCGACGAUCCAUAGCUGGUCUGAGAGGAUGAUCAGCCACACUGGGACUGAGACACGGCCCAGACUCCUACGGGAGGCAGCAGUGGGGAAUAUUGGACAAUGGGCGAAAGCCUGAUCCAGCAAUGCCGCGUGAGUGAUGGAGGCCUUAGGGUUGUAAAGCUCUUUUACCCGGGAUGAUAAUGACAGUACCGGGAGAAUAAGCUCCGGCUAACUCCGU